CCUACGGAGAGCAGCAGUGAGGAAUAUUGGUCAAUGGGCGGGAGCCUGAACCAGCCAAGUCGCGUGAAUGAAGAAGGUACUUAGUAUUGUAAACUUCUUUUGUCGGGGAACAAAGGCGGAGACGCGUCUCCGGAUGAGUGUACCCGAAGAAAAAGCAUCGGCUACCUCCGUGCCAGCAUCCGCGGUACAACGGGGGAUGCGAGCGUUAUCCGUAUUUAUUGGGUUUAAAGGGUGCGCAGGGGGGAGAUCAAGUCAGCGGGAAAAUGUCGGGGCUCAACCCCGGUCGGCCGUUGAAACUGGUUUUAUAGAGUUGGGGAGAGGGAUGCGGAAUUCGUGGGGUAGCGGUGAAAUGCAUAGAGAGCACGAAGAACACCGAUUGCGAAGGCAGCAUACCGGCUCCAUACUGACGCUGAGGCACGAAAGCGUGGGGAUCGAACAGGAUUAGAUACCCUGGUAGUC
rnacentral:rRNA from 1 species